CCGCCCGCAGCACCGCAGCCGGAACCGCCGCCGCUGCCCGCGACAACCGCCCAGCCGCGCAGCCCGCCGGGAAGCCUAGGCCCGCCCUCACUGCUCAAAACUGCAAUUCCCAAUAGGCCCCGCGGCGCGGCGCCUCCGACGACCCGUAGCGGAACUCGUAGCGCAGAGCAUGUCGGGAAUUCCGGCCCGACUCCGACGUGACCCAUUACAGCAGCUGUGACAACGUAGAUGCAGCAUGCCAGGCACUCCCUUGAUCCUGAAUCGAACGGCUCCAAGAUUCAAACCCCUCUCAGCACUACUCAUAGCAGCAGACAAGAUAUCCCACACAGGCCUGGGGCAAGGGACCAACUUGAAGACAGGGAUUUCAGGGCCAGCAGUAUCUGCACCUUUAUGUACACUACAGCAUGGGCUGGGCAGAGUGCCUGGUCCCAGGGACACCACUGUUAACACUCUACAAAACCCAGAGGAAGUAAGGGGUAAGUGCAAGUCCAGGCAAUGAGGCCAAAGUCACGCAGAGAGGUCGCUGUUAUCAAAACGCUCCUGGUCAUACACUUCAGCCACCACCUUACGGCCAGCAAACCAGCGCCCAUUCAGGGCCUGGAUGGCCUUGUGAGUCUCUGAGGCCAUGGAAAAUUCCACAAAAAUCUUGACGAUGAUCUCUGCAUCCUCUUCCUCGCCCUGCUUUUCUUGGUAGAUAAUGACUCGGUUCACAGCACCAAAUUUGCCACACUCUUCUGUCACCUCUCCCUCCAGGUCGUCGUCGAUGUCCUUGGGGUCUACCAUGUUGCGUAAAACCAUGACUGUGGACUGUGAGAAAGGAGACUGAAUGCCGUGGCCUGUCAAGCACACUCUACCCCCUCUCCCUGAGAGGCACCGGCACCGGCCCACCUACCUCCUGUUUUCUGAGCAGCUUCUGCAUGACCAUGUGCCGAGCACUGCUGCCUGAGAUGCUCAUGUGCUCCUGCUCACUCAGCAUCUCUGGCCGCUCUGACUCAGGAAACAGCUCCUCCUCUUCCUUCUCCUUCUUGGGUUCCAACAGACCCAGUGUUGGCGGGCUGGCUAGGAUGGGGUUCACCACUCCCACAGAGGGGAUGGUGACAGGAAUGGGAGGGCGGGCUGGGGUAACACCUGCAGCAAAACCAAGUUCAACAGUCACACAUACACCCUCCCUGAGGAGCAGAGAGCUGGUUGGCUAUGGCCAGCCUGCCCUGGGUUCAAGUCUUACACUGAAGUAAGUAUGGGCUGGGGAGCUGAAGACAGAGCCUCGAGGUGAGGGGUAAAGAACGGUGGAGAGCCUGACCCACUCACACUCACCUGUGAUGACUCCAGGGGCCUGGGCAGCCAUGACAGCCUGGGGUAGAGCGCCUAAGGGCUGGGCCAGGGUCAGCGCUGGGGACACUAGUCCUGGUGUAGCUAAAGUACCCAGCACUGCUGCUCCAGCCACUGCUUCCUGCAACCAAAAGGCAACCACAGUCAGUUUCUAGUCUGGCUAUCUCCACCCCCGAAGGAUCAAUGGGCCUGUCCACCCACUCACUGUCCACCCACUCACUGUCCACCCACGCCACUGCACCAGUUCGUACCUGAGCUGUAAUCUUGGCUGUGGCUGCAGCUGCGGCUACAGCGGCAGCAGGCGGGAGACCUCCAGGCGUGGCAGGUGUUAGCAGGGGCAUGGGGGGUGUGACGGCCUUGCCCACCCUCAAGUACUGGCCACCCAGAUCAAAGAGGUUCAUGGACGAUACAGCAUCCUGGGACGACUGGGCCUUCUCAUAUUC